rnacentral:rRNA from 1 species
GUACGGCCACACUGGAACUGAGACACGGUCCAGACUCCUACGGGAGGCAGCAGCUAAGAAUCUUCCGCAAUGGGGGAAACCCUGACGGAGCGACGCCGCGUGGAUGAUGAAGGCCGUAAGGUUGUAAGAUCCUUUUGUCGGUGAAGAAUAAGGGAGGGAGUGGAAAGCCCUCCUGAUGACGUUAGCCGACGAAUAAGCCCCGGCUAAUUACGUGCCAGCAGCCGCGGUAAUACGUAUGGGGCAAGCGUUGUUCGGAUUUAUUGGGCGUAAAGGGCGUGUAGGCGGCUCAUCAAGUCUGGUGUGAAAAUGCAGGGCUCAACCCUGCAAAUGCGCUGGAAACUGGUGGGCUUGAGUUCUUGAGGGGAAGCUGGAAUUCCAGGUGUAGGGGUGAAAUCUGUAGAUAUCUGGAAGAACACCGGUGGCGAAGGCGAGCUUCUAUCAGAGGACUGACGCUGAGGCGCGAAAGCGUGGGGAGCAAACAGGAUUAGAUACCCUGGUAGUCCACGCUGUAAACGAUGUGCACUAGGCGUGGGGCACGUACGUGUUCUGUGCCGUAGUUAACGUGUUAAGUGCACCGCCUGGGGAGUAUGCUCGCAAGGGUGAAACUCAAAGGAAUUGACGGGGGCCCGCACAAGCGGUGGAGCAUGUGGUUUAAUUCGAUUGUACACGAUGAACCUUACCAGGGCUUGACAUGUGCGUGAAUGUUCACGAGAGUGGGCAGCCCCGCAAGGGGCGCGCACACAGGUGCUGCAUGGCUGUCGUCAGCUCGUGUCGUGAGAUGUUGGGUUAAGUCCCGCAACGAGCGCAACCCUUACUGUCUGUUGCUAACAGGUUGUGCUGAGCACUCGGACGGAACUGCCGGUGACAAACCGGAGGAAGGUGGGGAUGACGUCAAGUCAUCAUGGCCCUUAUGUCCUGGGCUACACACGUGCUACAAUGGCAAGUACAAAGCGAAGCAAAACGGCGACGUCAAGCAAAUCGCAGAAAGCUUGUCUCAGUGCGGAUUGGAGUCUGAAACCCGACUCCAUGAAGUUGGAAUCGCUAGUAAUCGCGCAUCAGCAUGGCGCGGUGAAUACGUUCCCGGGCCUUGUACACACCGCCCGUCACACCACCCGAGUUGGGGGUACCCGAAGUCAGUUGCCUAACCGCAAGGGGGGCGCUGCCGAAGGUAUGCCUGGUGAGGGGGGUGAAGUCGUAACAAGGUA